AGUGUCUGCGAGCGGAGCGCGAAGUUCUCGGCGCUCGUGGCAGCUACACCAUCCGCACCUGCGGCGACCACGCGCCCCCGCACCUGGUGCGGCUCGGUUGCGGCGUCCCGCUGUCCGCCAGGGUAUGGCGCGCGUGAAGACCGGGUCUCGCGGCCGCAAGGGCCGCCUGUGAGCCGGCGAGCAGAGGACCGAGUGGGAGCGCGAUCGCGCGCACGAUGCCUGUCCGGGCGGAGGCGAGAGCGGCUUGGCGCGCGGUGGCCCUGGCUAUGCUGCUGCUCCCCGCCGUGCUUGCAGCCAUUCCGCCGCGCCCCCUGCGCCCGCUGCAGCCGAGCAUGCCCCACGUGUGUGCCGAGCAGAAGCUGACCCUGGUGGGCCACCGCCAGCCCUGUGUGCAAGCCUUCAGUCGCAUCGUGCCUGUGUGGAGAGCAGGCUGUGGGCAGCAGGCAUGGUGCAUUGGCCAGGAGCGCAGGACUGUCUACUAUAUGAGCUAUAGGCAGGUGUAUGCCACGGAGGCCCGCACUGUGUUUAGGUGCUGUCCUGGGUGGAGCCAGAAGCCUGGCCAGGAGGGGUGCCUCUCAGAUGUUGACGAGUGUGCCAAUGCCAACGGGGGCUGUGAAGGUCCUUGCUGCAACACCGUGGGUGGUUUUUACUGCCGCUGUCCACCUGGCUUCCAGCUUCAGGGUGAUGGCAAAACCUGCCAAGAUGUGGAUGAGUGUCGUGCACACAACGGCGGCUGCCAGCAUAGGUGUGUGAAUACCCCUGGCUCUUACCUCUGUGAGUGCAAGCCUGGCUUCCGGCUCCACACAGAUGGCAGGACCUGCCUAGCCAUCAGCUCUUGCACUCUGGGAAAUGGUGGCUGCCAGCAUCAGUGUGUCCAGCUCACGGUGACGCAGCACCGCUGCCAGUGCCGGCCCCAGUACCAGCUGCAGGAGGAUGGCCGGCGCUGUGUCCGGAGAAACCCGUGUGAGGAUGGCAAUGGUGGCUGUAUGCACGUGUGCCAGGCACUCCGGGGUCUUGCCCACUGUGGCUGUCACACAGGUUACCAGCUUGCUGCAGACCGCAAGGCCUGUGAAGACGUGGACGAAUGUGCCACGGGGCUGGCCCAGUGUGCUCACGGCUGCCUCAACACCCAGGGAUCCUUUAAGUGUGUGUGCCACGCAGGCUACGAGCUGGGUGCCGAUGGCCGGCAGUGCUAUCGGAUCGAGAUGGAGAUUGUGAACAGCUGCGAGGCUGGCAAUGGUGGCUGCUCACAUGGCUGCAGUCACACUAGCACGGGACCCCUGUGCACCUGCCCUCAUGGUUACGAGUUGGAUGAAGACCAGAAGACCUGCAUUGACAUCGACGACUGUGCCAACUCCCCAUGCUGCCAGCAGGUGUGUGCCAACACCCCUGGUGGGUACGAGUGCAACUGCUACGCUGGCUACCGGCUCAGUCCUGAUGGCUGUGCGUGUGAGGAUGUUGAUGAGUGUGCCUCUGGUCAUAGCGGCUGUGAACAUCACUGUGCUAAUCUCGCUGGCUCCUUCCAGUGCUUCUGUGAGGCUGGUUACCGGCUGGACGAGGACCGCAGAGGCUGCACCCCCCUAGAAGAGUCCGUGGUAGACCUGGAUGGCCAGCUGCCCUUCGUGCGGCCCCUGCCCCACAUCGCGGUGCUGAGGGACGAGCUGCCACAACUCUUCCAGGACGACUAUGGGGCCGAGGAGGAGGCAGCAGAGUUGCGGGGAGAACACACGCUCACCGAGAAGUUUGUCUGCCUGGACCACUCCUUCGGCCAUGACUGCAGCCUGACUUGUGAUGACUGCAAGAAUGGAGGGACCUGCUUUCCGGGCCUGGGUGGCUGUGACUGCCCAGAGGGCUGGACAGGGAUCGUCUGCAAUGAGACUUGUCCUCCAGACACCUUCGGGAAGAACUGUAGCUCUCUUUGCACCUGUCAGAAUGGCGGGACCUGCGACCCCGUGUCAGGAGCCUGCCGCUGUCCCCCGGGUGUCAGUGGAGCCCACUGUGAGGAUGGCUGUCCCAAGGGCUUCUAUGGCAAACAUUGCCGUAAGAAAUGUCACUGUGCUAACCGGGGCCGAUGCCACCGCCUCUAUGGGGCCUGCCUCUGUGACCCAGGACUCUACGGCCGCUUCUGCCAUCUUGUCUGCCCUCCCUGGGCCUUUGGCCCCGGCUGUUCUGAGGAUUGCCGCUGUGAGCAGUCACACACACAGUCCUGUAACCCAAAGGACGGCAGCUGCUCCUGCAAGGCUGGCUUCUGGGGCGAGCGCUGCCAGGAAGCGUGUGAGCCAGGCUUCUUUGGGCCUGGCUGCAGGCACCAUUGCACCUGCCUGCCGGGUGUGGCCUGCGACCCUGUGAGCGGCGAGUGUAGGACGCAGUGUCCUCCUGGCUACCAGGGGGAGGACUGUAGCCAAGAGUGCCCAGUAGGAACGUUUGGUGUGAACUGCUCAGGUUCCUGCUCUUGUGUGGGGGCUCCCUGCCACCGGGUCACAGGACAGUGUCUGUGCCCACCGGGGAAGACCGGGGAGGACUGUGGAGCAGAUUGUCCCGAGGGCCGUUGGGGGCUUGGCUGUCAGGAGAUUUGCCCUGCGUGCGAACACGGUGCCCGCUGUGACCCUGGGACUGGAGUCUGCCUGUGCCUCCCUGGCUUUGUUGGUAGCCGCUGCCAGGAUGCUUGCCCAGCUGGCUGGUUUGGAACUGGCUGCCAGAUGAGGUGUGCUUGUGCCAAUGACGGACACUGCCACCCAGCCACUGGCCGCUGUAGCUGUGCUCCAGGGUGGACUGGUCUCAGCUGCCAGAGAGCCUGUGACAGCGGACGUUGGGGGCCCGAUUGCAUCCACGCUUGCAACUGCACUGCAGGCCACGGGAGCUGUGAUGCCAUCAGUGGCCUAUGCCUGUGCGAGGCUGGCUACGAAGGUCCUCGGUGUGAGCAGUGGUGUCGCCAGGGGUACUUUGGGCCUAACUGUGAACAGAAGUGCAAGUGUGAGCAUGGGGCAACCUGUGACCAUGUCAGUGGGGCCUGUACCUGCCCGGCUGGAUGGAGGGGAAGCUUCUGUGAACAUGCCUGUCCUGCUGGCUUCUUCGGGUUAGACUGUGCCCAUGCCUGUAACUGCUCCGCUGGGGCCACCUGCGAUGCUGUGACCGGCUCCUGCAUCUGCCCAGCUGGCCGCUGGGGCCCACACUGCGCCCAGACUUGCCCAUCCCUCACUUAUGGGCUUAACUGCAGCCAGAUUUGUACCUGUUUCAAUGGGGCCUCCUGUGACCCCGUCCAUGGGCAAUGCCUCUGUGCCCCUGGCUGGAUGGGACCCACCUGCCUGCAGGCCUGCCCUGCUGGCCUGCACGGCAAGGACUGUCAACAUUCCUGUCUGUGCCGCAACGGAGGGAGCUGUGACCCCAUCUCGGGCCAGUGCACCUGCCCAGAGGGCUGGACCGGCUUGGCCUGUGAGGAAGAGUGCCUUCCUGGACACUAUGGAGCUGGCUGUCAACUCAGCUGCAGUUGCCGUAACGGAGGCAUAUGUGACCGGCUCACAGGACACUGCCUCUGCCCAGCCGGCUGGACUGGGGACAAGUGUCAGAGCCCCUGUGCCAAGGGCACGUUUGGAGUUCACUGUGAAGAGCAUUGUACCUGCCGGAGAGGUGCCACCUGCCACCAUGUCACCGGGGCCUGCCUCUGUCCCCCAGGAUGGAGGGGCUCACAGUGCGAGGAUGCCUGCCCACGUGGCUGGUUUGGAGAGUCCUGUACACAGCGAUGCCGCUGCCCAUCUGGUGCCCCCUGCCACCAUGUUACUGGGGAGUGCCAUUGUCCCCCUGGCUUCACUGGACCUGGCUGUGAGCAGGCUUGCCAGCCUGGCACCUUUGGAAAGGACUGUGGGCACAUAUGCCAUUGUCCUGGUGAGACCUGGACCUGCCACCCUGCUUCAGGGGCCUGCGUAUGCGCUGCCGGUUACCAUGGCACCAACUGUCAGCAACGAUGCCCACCCGGGCACUAUGGGCCAGGCUGUGAACAAGUUUGUAAGUGUCUCAGUGGCGGCUCCUGCGACGCGGCCACGGGAGCUUGCGACUGCCCUGCUGGAUUCCUGGGGUCUGACUGCAGCCUCGCCUGUCCCCAGGGUCGCUUCGGCCCCGACUGUACCCAUGUGUGUGCGUGUGGGCAAGGGGCGGCCUGUGAUCCUGUGUCAGGGACUUGUGUCUGUUCUCCUGGGAAGACUGGAGUCCACUGUGAACAUGGGUGUCCCCAGAAUCGCUUUGGCAAGGGCUGUGAGCUUGAGUGUGCCUGCAGGAAUGGCGGCCUGUGUCAUGCUACUAACGGCAGCUGUUCCUGCCCGCUGGGCUGGAUGGGGCCACACUGUGAGCAGGCCUGCCCUGCUGGGCACUAUGGUGCCGCCUGCCUCCUCAAGUGCUCCUGUCAGAACAACGGCACCUGUGAGCCCACCACGGGGGCCUGCCACUGUGGUCCUGGCUUCUAUGGUCCAGCUUGUGAGCACUCCUGCCCCCCUGGCUUCUACGGAUCUGGUUGCCAGGGAGUCUGUGAGUGUCAACAGGGAGCCUCCUGCGACCCUGUCAGCGGCCAAUGCCUCUGCCCCGCUGGCUUCCACGGCCAGUUCUGCGAGAAGGGGUGCCAGCCAGGCUUUUUUGGAGACGGCUGCCAGCAGCAGUGUGACUGCCAGAAAGGGGUGCCCUGUGAUCCCGCCAGCGGCCUCUGCCUUUGCCCACCGGGGCGUACAGGAGCCACAUGUAACCUGGAUUGCAGAAGGGGCCACUUUGGGCCUGGCUGUGCCCUGCACUGUGACUGUGGGGGUGGGGCUGACUGCGACCCCAUCAGUGGGCGGUGCCAUUGUGUGGACGGCUACACAGGGCCCACUUGCCGGGAAGUGGCCACACAGCCGUCCUCCGGCAGACCGGCACCCCAACAACCCAGCAGCAGGGCCAUGAAGCAUUAGCCCAUGGAACGCCCACAAAGGACCACUACCGUGUUCCAGCCCAAGGGACCGAGAGGACAUGUGUGGAUAUAGGAAUCCUGGACCCACGCCUCCUCCGGAAAGCGAUGGAUCUCUGUGGAGGGCUGUGGAUGGUCACACAGCUACCUACCAAAGCCUCAUGGCCAGGGGAAGAUGGCUGUGGUGAACACAAGGAGCCCAGGGAAGAGGACCAAGCCUCAGGCCUCCAUGUACACGGGCACCCUGUGGGCUGUGCUGAAGAAUCCUGGCUCUCUUUAGGGACCUGGGUUGGGACCAAGGCAGGAGUAGGUGAGGCCCCACCUGCCUGACAGGUCCUUCUGGUGCUAAGGCCACGGACCGCUGCAGCCAGCCAACUGUUUACCUGGAAACGCCGUCCGGCCCGUAUUUAUGUAAAGGUUCACCCAUGAUUCUAAUUUGGAAAUAACCUGGGAGGAGCUCUGGAGGAAGCCGUGGGAGACCACGCAGCACAGUUCCUACAGUGCCAUCACGAAGAGAACUGAAGUUGGCCUUGUAACCCGGGUUGCAGGUCAACUGCAGACUGGUUCACCAUGGGGGAGGUGUGAGAGAAGUCAGAGACCGGGCAUCGCUGGUCCCGUGAGUAACAGGCCAGGAGGCAGCAGCUGCAGCCAGCACAGGAGGUGAUGGAGUGGUCCAGGGACAGGAAGAACUAGGGAAGGGAAAGGGCAGGCUAACAGGGCCUAAGCAGACAUAGAUCCAGAUUGCACUAAAAAUCCUAUGAUCUCAGCUGGCAAGGCAGCUCAGGGGGAAAGGCACCUGCUGCCAAGCCUGACAGCCUGAGCCUGCUUUCCAUAUGGUGGAAGGGGAUUGGUGACUUCUGCAGGUUGUCCUCUG